ACCAUGAGAGUUGGGGAUACCCAAAGCCCGUGAGCCAACUUUUAGAGGCAGCGGUCUAAGGUAGAAUCAAUGAUUGGGGUGAAGUCGUAACAAGGUAUC
rnacentral:rRNA from 1 species